rnacentral:rRNA from 1 species
CACGGGCAUGCCUCAGUACGGCGAGUGAAGCGGCAACAGCUCAAAUUUGAAAUCUGGCCCUAGGCCCGAGUUGUAAUUUGCAGAGGAUGCUUUUGGUGCGGUGCCUUCCAAGUUCCCUAGAACGGGACGCCAGAGAGGGUGAGAGCCCCGUACAGUUGGACACCAAGCCUUUGUAAAGCUCCUUCGACGAGUCGAGUAGUUUGGGAAUGCUGCUCAAAAUGGGAGGUAUAUUUCUUCUAAAGCUAAAUACCGGCCAGAGACCGAUAGCGCACAAGUAGAGUGAUCGAAAGAUGAAAAGCACUUUGAAAAGAGGGUUAAACAGCACGUGAAAUUGUUAAAAGGGAAGCGCUUGUGACCAGACUUGCGUCCGGUGAAUCACCCAGCUCUCGCGGCUGGGGCACUUCGCCGGCUCAGGCCAGCAUCAGCUCGCUGUCGGGGACAAAAGCUUCAGGAACGUAGCUCUCUUCGGGGAGUGUUAUAGCCUGUUGCACAAUACCCUUCGGCGGGCUGAGGUACGCGCUCCGCAAGGAUGCUGGCAUAAUGGUCAUCAGCGACCCGUCUUGAAACACGGACCCAAA